UACGUAGGGGGCGAGCGUUGUCCGGAUUUAUUGGGCGUAAAGAGCUCGUAGGUGGCUGUUCAAGUCGGGUGUGAAAUCCCAAGGCUCAACCUUGGGUCUGCAUUCGAUACUGGGUGGCUUGAGUCUGGUGAGGGGGACCUGGGAAUUCCUGGUGUAGCGGUGGAAUGCGUAGAUAUCAGGAGGAACACCGGUGGCGAAGGCGGGUCUCUGGGCCGAUACUGACGCUGAGGAGCGAAAGCGUGGGGAGCGAACAGG
rnacentral:rRNA from 1 species